rnacentral:rRNA from 1 species
AGUGAACGCUGGCGGUAGGCCUAACACAUGCAAGUCGAACGGCAGCACAGUAAGAGCUUGCUCUUACGGGUGGCGAGUGGCGGACGGGUGAGGAAUACAUCGGAAUCUACUUUUUCGUGGGGGAUAACGUAGGGAAACUUACGCCAAUACCGCAUACGACCUACGGGUGAAAGCAGGGGAUCUUCGGACCUUGCGCGAUUGAAUGAGCCGAUGUCGGAUUAGCUAGUUGGCGGGGUAAAGGCCCACCAAGGCGACGAUCCGUAGCUGGUCUGAGAGGAUGAUCAGCCACACUGGAACUGAGACACGGUCCAGACUCCUACGGGAGGCAGCAGUGGGGAAUAUUGGACAAUGGGCGAAAGCCUGAUCCAGCAAUACCGCGUGAGUGAAGAAGGCCUUCGGGUUGUAAAGCCCUUUUGUUGGGAAAGAAAAGAAGCAGGUUAAAACCCCGAUGUUCUGACGGUACCCAAAGAAUAAGCAACGGCUAACUUCGUG